GACGAACCGUGCAAACGUUGUUCGGAUUCACUGGGCUUAAAGGGCGCGUAGGCGGCUUGAUAAGCGUGCGGUGAAAGCCCGGGCUCAACCCCGGUCGGCCGUGCGAACUGUCGAGCUGGAGCACUGUAGAGGCAGGUGGAAUUCCGGGUGUAGCGGUGGAAUGCGUAGAGAUCCGGAAGAACACCGGUGGCGAAGGCGGCCUGCUGGGCAGUGGCUGACGCUGAGGCGCGACAGCGUGGGGAGCAACAGG
rnacentral:rRNA from 1 species